rnacentral:rRNA from 1 species
AGAGUUUGAUCCUGGCUCAGGAUAAACGCUGGCGGCGCACAUAAGACAUGCAAGUCGAACGGACUUAAUCGAUUCUUUUAGAUUCGAAGCGGUUAGUGGCGGACUGGUGAGUAACACGUAAGCAACCUGCCUGUUAGAGGGGAAUAACAGUGAGAAAUCACUGCUAAAACCGCAUAUGCCGUGAACAUCGCAUGAUGAAAACGGGAAAAGAGCAAUCUGCUAAUAGAUGGGCUUGCGUCUGAUUAGCUAGUUGGUGUGGUAAAGGCAUACCAAGGCAACGAUCAGUAGCCGGACUGAGAGGUUGAACGGCCACAUUGGGACUGAGAUACGGCCCAGACUCCUACGGGAGGCAGCAGUCGGGAAUAUUGCGCAAUGGAGGAAACUCUGACGCAGUGACGCCGCGUAUGGGAAGAAGGUUUUCGGAUUGUAAACCAUUUUAGACAAGGAAGAAACAAGACAGUACUUGUAGAAUAAGCUCCGGCUAACUACGUGCCAGCAGCCGCGGUAAUACGUAGGGAGCAAGCGUUAUCCGGAUUUAUUGGGUGUAAAGGGUGCGUAGACGGGAAGGUAAGUUAGUUGUGAAAUCCCUCGGCUCAACUGAGGAACUGCGACUAAAACUGCUUUUCUUGAGUGCUGGAGAGGAAAGUGGAAUUCCUAGUGUAGCGGUGAAAUGCGUAGAUAUUAGGAGGAACACCAGUGGCGAAGGCGACUUUCUGGACAGUAACUGACGUUGAGGCACGAAAGUGUGGGGAGCAAACAGGAUUAGAUACCCUGGUAGUCCACACCGUAAACGAUGGAUACUAGGUGUAGGGGAUAUUAAGUCUUCUGUGCCGUCGCAAACGCAGUAAGUAUCCCACCUGGGGAGUACGGCCGCAAGGUUGAAACUCAAAGGAAUUGACGGGGGCCCGCACAAGCAGUGGAGUAUGUGGUUUAAUUCGACGCAACGCGAAGAACCUUACCAAGGCUUGACAUAUACAGGAAUAACUAAGAAAUUAGUUAGCUCUUCGGAGUCUGUAUACAGGUGGUGCAUGGUUGUCGUCAGCUCGUGUCGUGAGAUGUUGGGUUAAGUCCC